rnacentral:tRNA from 1 species
GAGGUUGUGGCUCAGUGGUAGAGCACUUGCCUGGCAUGUGUGAGGCACUGGGUUCAAUCCUCAGCACCACA